rnacentral:rRNA from 1 species
GACGAACGCUGGCGGCGUGCCUAAUACAUGCAAGUAGAACGCUGAAGGAGGAGCUUGCUUCUCUGGAUGAGUUGCGAACGGGUGAGUAACGCGUAGGUAACCUGCCUGGUAGCGGGGGAUAACUAUUGGAAACGAUAGCUAAUACCGCAUAAGAGUAGAUGUUGCAUGACAUUUGCUUAAAAGGUGCAAUUGCAUCACUACCAGAUGGACCUGCGUUGUAUUAGCUAGUUGGUGGGGUAACGGCUUACCAAGGCGACGAUACAUAGCCGACCUGAGAGGGUGACCGCCACACUGGGACUGAGACACGGCCCAGACUCCUACGGGAGGCAGCAGUAGGGAAUCUUCGGCAAUGGACGGAUGUCUGACCGAGCAACGCCGCGUGAGUGAAGAAGGUUUUCGGAUCGUAAAGCUCUGUUGUAAGAGAAGAACGAGUGUGAGAGUGGAAAGUUCACACUGUGACGGUAUCUUACCAGAAAGGGACGGCUAACUACGUG